CCUUCGAUUAACGGCCAACCCGCUCUAACUCCUGAGCCACAGCCGCCCCAAUACACCCAUACUUUUUUUUAGGGUUCUUCAGGGAGACUACUCUCCCCUUGUUGGAUUCAAACUCCAUAAAUAUUGGGCAGCUUAUCAGAUAUCAAGUCAUAACUGCUGCUAACUGCCGUUGGCAGCAGAACUUUGCAGGGCGAGCGGGCAAAGCAACUGGGCAAAGCAACCGGGCUCAGCAGCCUCCCAGUGAACACGGAGCCAGUUUGACAACAGGGAAUACAGUACUGAGAUGAGCUGAUGGGUACUGGAAUCCCACAUGCAGACCUGCCUGUCAUAGCCACAGGUGAGGAACUGGGGCUUUGAGGGGUGGACAGCCAGACCCCACAACUCAUCCGUGUGACCCUGUAGAGAAGAGGAGAGAUUUCUUACAGCAUCACAGCCUUUCAAAUCUGCUGUCCCACGAGACAAGCCUGCGGUCUUUCCCUCCAGACACCAGCGUGCCAUUCCUCAGCGUGGACAGAGCAAAGAUGCUGCCCUCGUGAGCUCCUUGGAUGACGUGGCUGAUACGAUUAGUGCCUGCUUGACAGAGAUGGGAUGAGAUGGAUGAGAAGGGUCAGUUGGAGAGAGUCCAACAUAAAGGUCGGCUGCUUGAGGAGAGCAGAUUAACAAACAGACAGAUAGACAGGGUGAUCAAUAGAUAAGAGGCAAAAAGAGAUAGUGGCAUUUUAAUGUAAUGUGUGUCUAAAUGUUGGAUUAAAUAAAGUUGAAAUUAAUAACUUAA